rnacentral:tRNA from 1 species
GCCCAUAUCGCGUAAUGGUAUCGCACAAGAUUGGAAAUCUUGACCCCUCGGGGUACCCAGGUUCGAUUCCUGGUGUGGGCG